AUGUAGCGUAUAUAUAAAUAUAUGUAUGUAUGUAUAUACGUCUAUAUGAUGUACGCUUCUCAUGUAUAUACAUAGACACACACAUGUGUACAUAUAAUUGUAUAUUAAAUUAAUUGUUAAUAGCAGACGAUAUACAAAAGUUUAAACAGAAUCGGAGGAAAAAUAAGAAAAGAAAAGAGAAAAAUCAAAGAAGGAUAUACUAGUAAUAGAUCUAUAUAUAUAUACAUAUAUAUUUAAAAAAAAGCAUAUAAAUACAAUAUAUAUAUAUAUAUAUAUAUAAAUAUAUAUAUAUAUAUUAAAAAAGGAUAUAUAUAUACGUAUUUUUUAAAAAAUCUAUAAACUAAACGAAAAAAAAAAUAACAUAAAGAAAACGAGGAAUGCCUAUACAACAUAGAUCGGUGACAACAUUGCAAAAUUUGUUGUUUUUCAAGGGGGGAUUUUCAAUGUUGUUUGUGUUGGGUUUUUUUCUUGGUGAUUUUCCCCAUUCCUGAGUGAGUAGUAUGUAUACCAUUGGAACCAGGUGCAGAGUGGCACCGUUAUCACUUACCAGAACAACAACUAUCGUCAUAAAGGAUAUUCGGUAAAACAUAUUAUACCCAGCCAAUACACCGGAUAGUUAUUCGUUCCGAAUUGGAUUGUAUCUCACUUGAAUGUUCUAACAGUCAAUUGGAAAAACAAACAAAUACCCGAUAAUAAUAAUAAUAAAAAUAA